GGGAAACGUCCCGAUGCUGUUCUUUCUGCUUCUGCAGCUGUUGUUUGGAUAACCCUUCGUUCUUUCAUUUACAUAUUGCAGUCAGGGAUGAAGUAGGCUUGGGGUAACCUAACAAUUAAGGCUGAGCAACAAUUAAGGCUAACAAUUAAGGCUGAGAAACUUGGAAAUUUAAAUAUUUUAUCUUGGUAAAAACAUCGAUUGAAGCAAAACAAGUUCAUUUAUCGAAGCCAGGUUCAUUAACUCUUUUGAAAUUAAAUUUUCAUUUUUCAGACGGUUUGACGAUUUCAAAAUAAUUAGGCAGAAUAAUAUCUGUUUUGCACCUUUGACAUCGCGUGAAAGAAGACCCGCUUAAAGCCAUAAUGAGAUGGGGAAAGCAUCUUCAAUGCGGUUAUUGACGUGCAAUCCUUUGGCACCUCUAGUUUUGUUGUACUGGCUCAUGGCCUCUGGAUUCUGUAGUCCAAAAGAUUUUCAUCCAGGAAGUUUUCAAUGCAAACCUUUUGACGAACAUCGAAUCCGUAUUAAGUGCAGCGGAAUUAAACACGUACCACGUGACCUUCCACCCAAUACGGCAAUACUGGAUUUGUCAAGCAAUCAACAGAGCUCGAUCCAAGAAUUUACCUUCAGAAAUCUGACAAUGCUCAAGGAAAUGUAUGUGAUCGAAAGAAGCUCGCUCUUUUAUCAAUGUUUAAUAACC